rnacentral:piRNA from 1 species
UAAGUAAUGUGCUCUGAAUCGUUG